rnacentral:miRNA from 1 species
UGGGCUAAGGGAGAUGAUUGGGUA